UAUCACCGUAUUCAAACAUUA
rnacentral:misc_RNA from 1 species